GCAUAUCAAUAAGCGGAGGAAAAGAAACCAACAGGGAUUGCCCUAGUAACGGCGAGUGAAGCGGCAACAGCUCAAAUUUGAAAUCUGGCUCUCUUUGGGGGUCCGAGUUGUAAUUUGCAGAGGAUGCUUUGGCAUUGGCGGCGGUCUAAGUUCCUUGGAACAGGACAUCGCAGAGGGUGAGAAUCCCGUACGUGGGCGCCUGCCUUUGCCGUGUAAAGCUCCUUCGACGAGUCGAGUUGUUUGGGAAUGCAGCUCUAAAUGGGAGGUAAAUUUCUUCUAAAGCUAAAUACCGGCCAGAGACCGAUAGCGCACAAGUAGAGUGAUCGAAAGAUGAAAAGUACUUUGGAAAGAGAGUCAAAAAGCACGUGAAAUUGUUGAAAGGGAAGCGCUUGCAGCCAGACUUGCCCGCAGUUGCUCACCUAGGCUUUGGCCUGGGGCACUCUUCUGCGGGCAGGCCAGCAUCAGUUUGGGCGGUUGGAUAAAGGCCUCUGUCACGUAUCUCCCUUCGGGGUGACCUUAUAGGGGAGGCGUAAUGCAACCAGCCCGGACUGAGGUCCGCGCAUCUGCUAGGAUGCUGGCGUAAUGGCUGUAAGCGGCCCGUCUUGAAACACGGACCAAGGAGUCUAACAUCUAUGCGAGUGUUUGGGUGUCAAGCCCGGGCGCGCAAUGAAAGUGAACGGAGGUGGGAACCCUUUGGGUGCACCAUCGACCGAUCCUGAUGUCUUCGGAUGGAUUUGAGUAAGAGCAUAGCUGUUGGGACCCGAAAGAUGGUGAACUAUGCUUGAAUAGGGUGAAGCCAGAGGAAACUCUGGUGGAGGCUCGCAGCGGUUCUGACGUGCAAAUCGAUCGUCAAAUUUGGGCAUAGGGGCGAAAGACUAAUCGAACCAUCUAGUAGCUGGUUCCUGC
rnacentral:rRNA from 1 species